UAUUAUUCUCAGGUACAAGAUUGUGAGAGAAUUCAAAUGAUCCUGGUCAUCUUCCAUUAAAAUAUUUCAAACUGAAGAAUCAAAUGAUGGCAAAGUCUUUCAAAUCGAGUAUCCUUUUAUUAAACUGGAAUUCAAACCCAAAAGUUGGAUAAAGAUUCUUGCAGAAAUGAUUACGCCACCCUUCCACAGUGCAGUAUGCAUCAUGUGAAAAGGAUGUCAUAUAUUACGCCACCCUUCCACAGUGCAGUAUGCAUCAUGUGAAAAGGAUGUCAUAUAUUACGCCACCCUCCCACAGUGCAGUAUACACGAAGUGAAUACGACGCCAUAUAAAUA